GUACUUGCUUCGGCAGUACAUAUAUUAAAAUUGGAACGAUACAGAGAAGAUUAGCAUGGCCCCUGCGCAAAGGCCCCACGCCACAGUUCGGGAUAGAGAUUUCCAUGUUUGU